AUUGAACGCUGGCGGCAUGCCUUACACAUGCAAGUCGAACGGCAGCACGGGAGCAAUCCUGGUGGCGAGUGGCGAACGGGUGAGUAAUAUAUCGGAACGUGCCCGGUCGUGGGGGAUAACGUAGCGAAAGCUACGCUAAUACCGCAUACGAUCUACGGAUGAAAGCGGGGGAUCGCAAGACCUCGCGCGAUUGGAGCGGCCGAUAUCAGAUUAGGUAGUUGGUGAGGUAAAGGCUCACCAAGCCGACGAUCUGUAGCUGGUCUGAGAGGACGACCAGCCACACUGGGACUGAGACACGGCCCAGACUCCUACGGGAGGCAGCAGUGGGGGAAUUUUGGACAAUGGGCGCAAGCCUGAUCCAGCAAUGCCGCGUGCAGGAUGAAGGCCUCGGUUGUAACGUAGCUU
rnacentral:rRNA from 1 species